GACGAACGCUGGCGGCGUGCCUAACACAUGCAAGUCGAGCGGGGUUGAGGCGAGAGGUAACUCGAGCUUCUACCUAGCGGCGGACGGGUGAGUAACGCGUGGGCAACCUGCCUCAAGGUUUGGGAUAACAGCCCGAAAGGGCUGCUAAUACCGGAUAUGCCUAUGGCCUCGCAUGGGGCUAUGAGCAAAGGGGAAACCCGCCUUGAGAUGGGCCCGCGUCCCAUCAGCUAGUUGGUGAGGUAACAGCUCACCAAGGCGACGACGGGUAGCCGGCCUGAGAGGGUGACCGGCCACACUGGGACUGAGACACGGCCCAGACUCCUACGGGGGGCAGCAGUGGGGGAUCUUGCACAAUGGGCGAAAGCCUGAUGCAGCGACGCCGCGUGAGCGAAGAAGGCCUUCGGGUUGUAAAGCUCUGUCUGGAGGGACGAACAAAAUGACGGUACCGUCCGGAGGAAGCCACGGCUAACUACGUGCCAGCAGCCGCGGUAAAUCACGUGUACG
rnacentral:rRNA from 1 species